rnacentral:lncRNA from 12 species
AUGAGAGAGAGAGAGAGAGAGAGAGAGAGAGAGAGAGAAAGGAAAGAGAAAGAGAAAGAGAAAGAGAAAGAGGAGAAAGAGAAAGAGAAAGAGAAGCAACGCUGGGCUGGGAGGGAGAGAAGACGUGCGGUGGGGCCCUGGUGCUUACCAGCAACUGAGGGCCAGAGGAGGAGAGCAGGGCUGUUGUUUUCUUGGUGUCCAGCAACGAGUCUUCUUGGUCAACUGAUACAUGCACCUCCCAGGAGCACCAGGUGGGGCGGAUACUCGAGAGCUGUUGUAGGGCUUUGAGAGACUGUACAGGCCUGUUGGGAUCCAGGCAAGUGCAGGGUACUUCGGGCUGGUUUUGUCCUCACUUUGUCAUUUCCACAUAGAGGACAGGCUCCCCGAUUCUUGGAUUAACCAGCACACGGACUUGCCCAGUAGCUCCGGAGAGCAAAGAGUCUCCAGCAUAUGUCAUCAAAGCAGACGCAGGAGAGUCAUGCUGGACGGGAGCAGCUCAGGAUGAGGCGCGCCUCCUUCUCUGGACUGAGAAGAGAAAGGACAUUGAACUCAUAAAUUAGCUACAAUUACGCCUUUGUACCAUGUCACUAGAUUCCAGUAGAUGCGUGUCUUUAUUUGCUCACAGGCUCAUUCCUCACUGCUGGCAAAUUUAUUAGACGUAUUACUCAGAGUUACAAAGAAUAGCACAUUUUUUGGUUUUUGUUUUUUUGUUUUUUGGUUUUUUUGCUAUGUUGAAGGGAUGAAAAUUCCCUUUUUUUGUUCACUGGUACCACAUGGAGCAAAUCCAGGUGAAUCACGCAAGUUUAUCCAAAGGGAGGCUUAAGCACAGUUCGGAACUGAGGAGCAGGAAGAGAGAUGAGGCCUGCGUUUCACUUAUUCAGUGAUUCAAAAUGAGCCUUCCCGGGGUCUCCCCCAGAGAUGCUGAGCACAGGCCGCUCCUGCCUUCACUCUCGCUUGCCUUGCAUCAAAGCUUCUGAGUCCUCGCCCCCCGCUCGCCCACCCUAAGUUUAGAAUUAGAGGAAAAAUCCAGGUAAAGCGACCAGCUCUUCGGAUUCUGUAUUUUGGAGCUUUGUUUUUCAGCCUGGCUGUCCGCUGGAGAGACAGGGAGGGAGCAGGAGCCCGCGUGGCCCCGGGGACGCCAGAACCUGUAUGACACACAUUGUUGGGGGGGCGCCUGGACUUCUGACCGAGCCUGUCCACGAUCGGGGCCACACCGCUCGGGGGUCCCCCCUGGGGGCUGGAGUCCAGUGGGGAGCCCGGGCUGUCGGGUCAUUUGGAUGAUCCUUCC